CGGCGGUAGCGGAGAGUACGAUCGAGGUUGCAUGCGAGAAUUUUGGAAAAAACAAGGAACCACUUCACAUAGCUAUUCUUAUCCCUCAAUUUCUCUCCGGAAAUUGGUUAUGGUUUCAGAGAUUUGGGUUAAGGUUUUUUUUCUUUCUAUCCUGACACCCUAAGUAAUUUACGAGGAGUGUUGAAGAAAAUGAUGAAGAAGAAGCAGAAAUUGAUUGAGGAAAUAAUGGCAGCUGAAGAAAUAGUUAAGAAUAACACUGAUACAACUUCACGAAGGAGGAGAAAAAGGAAGCUACAAUACAUAAUGUUUUUUGCAGUAAUAAAAGGAUGGGAAGAGCCAGAUCGAUAUGUGCUUCUGGGAAACCACCAGAGACACUUGGAUGUAUGCUGCUGUUGACCCCCAAUAGUGGAACCAUAGCCCUUCUUUACAUUACUCAAAGAUAUGCUUUUCUGAUGCAGUAUGGUGGAAGUAUAUCAUACAUGGGUUGCUAGAAACGAUGUAGUUGAUAUCCAGAGGCUCGGAUGAGUGGAUUCUGAUUAUGCCUCAUUUUUGCAACAUGCAGGCGUUCCAUCAAUUGAAUUAUGCUACAGAAAAAGAUAUGCACCACGUGGAACCAAAUUACUGUGGUUAGUAGAACCGACUUGAGUUAAUAAUUUAACUGAAGGGUAAUACAGGUCAUCUCAGGUGACCCUGAAACACCAGUUAACUUGUAGCUGGACGGAAUUCUUUGUAACAGGAUAUAUUUGUAAAUUUCCACAAAAAUGGACUUAUUUGUAAGCAACUUUCAAAAAUGGGACAUAUAAGUAAAAAAGCCCAAUAAUAAGAAAGAAUAAAUCUACAUGAGUUCAUUUCUGAUAUUUACAUGUAAGAACUUAGAAUCUCAUUCUCAUAUCAACAAGUUGUGAUGUGUUCUGUAACCAACAAGUUGCAGUGAGAUUCUUCUCACGUUACAUUAACCCUGUAGUCCUGUACAAAGUCAUAAGCUUCUUUUUGUAUGAUCCACUCUCUCUUGUUUUUUUUGAAUAAUAGCUGGAUUUAAUUCAAGUUAAACAAGUAUUAAAUUUACUCUCUCUUACAAUGUCAACGACUCAACAAUACUACUUUUAUUGU